GGUUUCGUAGUGUAGUGGCCCAUCACGUUUCGUUUACAUUCGCAAAAGACAUCCAUGUCUGGGAAGUAGAGCCGAAAAGGUCGCGAGUUCGAUCCUCGCCGAAACCU